ACUGAGAGCAGGGAUCUUGAGAAAAAGUUUACAUAGUUGUCAAAAAAGUUCAAAUUAUACUUUAGUGUUUUAUUUCAUCAUUUAAGAAAAUGAACAGUCCACUAUGUCCUUUACAUGAAGCAGUACGUUAGAAUACGUAAAAAAUAUAUUUAAAAAUCACUGUACGUGCUAAGGAUAUAUAAUUGCCUCUUAAAAAGAUUUUAGGAAAAUCCCUUUCUUUUAUAUCAUGUCUAUUAUGGGAAGUAAAGUCUUGAAGAAGUAAAUGUUGCACAUGCUGUAUGGGAG